rnacentral:rRNA from 1 species
ACUCCUACGGGAGGCAGCAGUGGGGAAUAUUGCACAAUGGGGGGAAAACCCUGAUGCAGCUAUGCCGCGUGUGUGAAGAAGGCCUUCGGGUUGUAAAGCACUUUCAGUAGGGAGGAAGGUAGUGUAGUUAACACCUGCAUUAUUUGUACGUUACCUACAGAAGAAGCACCGGCUAACUCCGUGCCAGCAGCCGCGGUAAGUACGGAGGGUGCGAGCGUUAAUCGGAAUUACGUGGGCGUAAAGCGCAUGCAGGCGGCCUGUUAAGUCAGAUGUGAAAGCCCGGGGUCGUUAAACCUCGGAAUUGCAUUUGAAACUGGCGAGGCUAGAGUCUUGUAGGAGGGGUUAGAAUUUCAGGUGUAGCGGUGAAAUGCGUAGAGAUCGUGAAGG